UGGAGCCACCAGUGACCACAGGUCACAUAUAUGAGUCACAUAUGAUGGAGAGGAGUCUGGAACUCUGAGGUCCAA
ensembl:snoRNA